rnacentral:rRNA from 1 species
UUUCGGGGUCAGUAGGUUGGUCGUGCCACCGGUACGUACUGGUCUCACUGAUUCCUCUUCCUGAUGAGCUGUAAUGCCAUUAAUUUGGUGUUGCAGGGAAUCUGGACUGUUACUUUGAAAAAUUAGAGUGUUUAAAGCAGGCUAACGCUUGAAUACAUUAGCAUGGAAUAAUGAAAUAGGACGUUCGAUCCUAUUUUAGUUGGUUUCUAGGGAUUGACGUAAUGAUUAAUAGGGAUAGUUGGGGGGCAUUAGUAUUCAAUUGUCAGAGGUGAAAUUCUUGGAUUUAUUGAAGACUAACUACUGCGAAAGCAUUUGCCAAGGAUGUUUUCAUUAAUCAAGAACGAAAGUUAGGGGAUCGAAGACGAUCAGAUACCGUCGUAGUCUUAACCAUAAACUAUGCCGACUAGGGAUCGGAUGAUGUUAAUUUUUUUAAUGACUCAUUCGGCGCCUUACG